AGAAACACCAACACCUUCAUUAAAACGAAAUAUUGCCAUCCCCUGCUCAGCUCACACCCCAAGGGAUGGUUGUUAAAGCAGGAUAAUCCUCAAUUAACCAAGUGUUCUGACUCUCUAGGGCAAGCUCCAGAGAUCUCUGCGGGAAAAGGAACAGGUGUGAGCUGCUACCCCAAGGGCCAUCAAGGAAAGGCUGGCCCUCACCGUGUGCCCUGGAAGAGAAGGCGAAGAGUUACAGUACUGUAUUGCCUAAUUAAAAAAGGAAAGAAAGAAAUCCAUGGAAUGAAGCCCUUGAAGCCAUGUAUGCAGGAAUCCACGGUGGGGAAUUUCCAAGUGAGAGAAACUUACCAAAGAAAAAGUCACUGGAAAAAGCAAAGCCGGAGACUGGCCACUGUGCUUUCAGCGCUGCUUGUGCUCAACCUGAAUUAUAUGGAAAGCAAACCAGUUAUCCCCUUUGUAUCUCCUUUCACAAGCCAGUUGGGCUGUGUCCUCAGCCAGCCCACUCCCGUCCCUCUUGUCAUCAGGCAGCCCA